rnacentral:rRNA from 1 species
UACGUAGGGGGCAAGCGUUGUCCGGAUUUAUUGGGCGUAAAGAGCUCGUAGGCGGUUCCGUAAGUCGUGAAGUCAAAUCUCUGGGCUCAACCCAGAAUCGCUUCCGAUACUGCGGUGACUGGAGUCCGGUAGGGGAGUGUGGAAUUCCUGGUGUAGCGGUGAAAUGCGCAGAUAUCAGGAGGAACACCAAUCGCGAAGGCAGCUCGCUGGGACGUCACUGACGCUAAGACGCGAAAGCGUGGGGAGCAAACAGG